rnacentral:lncRNA from 1 species
CAUAGUCCAAACUGGAGAAUAAUUAUUUUGAAACAUUCUGAGUAUUCUUUGACUUAGCUUGUUGCAAAUGCUUUAUGGAGCAGUUGUAUCACUUUUGAACAAUUACUAUAAUACACACUCGAGAAAUGAUCUUAUAAGACCCUCUCCACCCAUGUGUGUAGGACCUCAAAAGAUCACCAUUAAAUUUAGCACGGAUCUAUAGAAAAGUCAAGUCUCAUACCCAUGUGAUAACUUUUCUAAAGAUCCAGCCAACUUUAAUGGUGAUCCUUUAAGGUCCUACACACAUGGGUGGGGGAGGGUCCUAUAGAAUCAGUACUCAUACACUCUCAUACAAUUAAGAAACACUUGUCAAAAUGUACACGAGAG